UCCCCUGUAGCUCAGCGGUAGAGCAGGGCGCUGUUAACGCCAAGGUCGCAGGUUCGAAUCCUGCCGGGGGAGCCA
rnacentral:tRNA from 1 species